GACGAACGCUGGCGGCAUGCCUAAUACAUGCAAGUUGAACGAUGAUAUUCUCUGCUUGCAGCGACUUGAAGAGUAGCGAACGGGUGAGUAACACGUGGGGAACCUGCCCAUGAGAGGGGGAUAACAUUCGGAAACGGAUGCUAAUACCGCACAAUGCUUUGGACCGCCUGGUCCAGAGACGAAAGACGGCUUUUGCUGUCACUCAUGGAUGGCCCCGCGCCGUAUUAGCUAGUUGGUGAGGUAAUGGCUCACCAAAGCUGUGAUACGUAGCCGACCUGAGAGGGUGAUCGGCCACACGGGGACUGAGACACGGCCCAGACUCCUACGGGAGGCAGCAGUAGGGAAUCUUCCACAAUGGGCGAAAGCCUGAUGGAGCAAUGCCGCGUGAAUGAAGAAGGUCUUCGGAUCGUAAAGUUCUGUUAUUAGGGAAGAACAAGUCAAGGAGUAACUGUCUUGACUUUGACGGUACCUAACCAGAAAGUCACGGCUAACUACGUG
rnacentral:rRNA from 1 species